rnacentral:lncRNA from 1 species
CCGGCCAUCGGAGACGGAGAGCGGUGACUAUGGCAGGAAAGAGGAGGAGGUUGAUUACAAGAAGGAGGAGAAGCACCACAAGCAUCUCGAGCACCUCGGAGAGCUCGGAACUGCUGGAGCUGGUGCUUUUGCCCUGGUAAAGUGAUUCUUCAUCAAGUGCUUUUUUUAUUUUGUGAUAGUGUAUAGUUUCAUUUCUCAUGCAUACAUAUACAAAGUACCACGCAUGUAACUAGGCUUUUUGCAUGGAUUGGAGGAAAAAAAAAGAAAGAAUCCCAUUAUUUUCUUUAAUUUUAUCUCUAUGUUGACACUCAAUUAUUUAUUUAUUUUUGGGGGGUGGGGGGGUGUUGAUACGAUAUUGUAAAUGGAUCAGCUUGAGAAGCACAAGGCAGAAAAGGACCCAGAGCAUGCACACAGGCACAAGAUAGAGGAGGAGAUAGCCGCGGCAGCAGCCGUUGGAUCGGGAGGAUUUGCGUUCCACGAGCACCAUGAGAAGAAAGAAGCCAAGGAAGAAGACGAGGAAGCUCAUGGAAAGAAGCACCACCAUCUCUUUUAAUUAAUUAUGUGAUGCGUGCGCUACCUUUUUUAGUUUAUUAUAAUUAUGUGUUAAUAUUUUCUGUAUUUUAUUUGUUUUUGUUCGUUAAUUAUCAUUGAGCACAGAGGUAGCUAUCUGCAGCCCUAAAUAAUACCCUUGUGUGUUUGUGUGUAUGGGUGAGUCUGGUGACUUUUGUAAACAGACCGGAGUUAUCUGGUUAUGUUGUCAUCUUCCAUUUAUAUAUAUGUUGAUAAUAAAAAUUAGUUUUAAUUGUGUGUUUAUUAUUUAUAAGAUUUGACCUCAUGAUCUGAUGUUUUCUCCAAUCUCAGCUGUUGCUUUAGAAGUUGGGAUCAUCUGUUAAUUAUUAUUGUUUUUUAAAUGAAGUGAGCUGACAACCAUUGGGCUAAAGACUAAUAAUUCAACAUCAUAAAUAAACAACUCUCUUUGCCGUGAUGUAAUUUUAUUUGCCAAUGGGAUAAAGUAAAUUUAUGUGAAAUAACAUUUAUUCUAUGGACCCCCAGGCCAACUUUAGGGGAACAUUUUCCUAGAAUUGGCCUGGGGAGCAGCUGCGUGGUGGCAGCGCAGCUGCCCCAAACGGAUUUAUAUAUUUAUUAAAUUUGUUAAAGGAAUAUAUAAAGUUUAAAUUAACCUACAACUUUUCUUAAGAUUCAAAUCCUUGGGGCUUUAUCAAAUAAGAUUUGAUAUUAUAUCUGAAAAUAUAAUUGUGAAACCAAUGAUUAUAAGUUGAACUUAAUGUACAACUAAUCUUGAUAUUACCAAGUUGAUUUAUGGACUUUUGCUCGAGAAUGUUGUAUGACUCGUGACAAGUUGGACUGAAAAGCCCAUCGAGUAAUGGAAUGUUAGGUGUAUUUUCUCAAGAAGCAGCACUAAAUAAUCACCCGCUGACAGUCAAAUAAAGCUCACCAAUUAAUUGGACAACAACAAUUAUCUACAUCCAUUAAAGUGAAGCAAAGUAAAGAAAGGUCUAUGCAGGCUUCACAAGCACAAAUUAAUCAAGUAGUUGCACAAGCACAACCUGAACAAGCACCAGGUAAUAUUUAACCUCUAUGUUAAUUCCUUAUUUUUAUGUCCAUGAAUAAUAACUAAAUUAAUACUUUUUAGGAAUAUAUGGACCUCAAAGUACAAUUGGACAACAACAACAACCUGCAUAUAUUAUAGCGAGGCAAAGGAGGGCUAGACCAUUGCAUGAUCAAGGAACUAGUAACAACAACAAUAAUGGAGUUAUUAAUACCGAGCCUGUUCUAAAAAAAGUCAGAAAAGAGAGCAAAGAUAGGUUGAAUGCAACUCAACCAUCAGCUUCUAUGCCUGAUGGCUUUGGUGGUUGCAUGUAGUAUCUUGUAAAAUAUGAUAUCUAAUUAGUUUUGUUAACUAUUGUAGCAGGGGGUAAAGGUGGCUUCAUUCAUUGGGUAUGUGGCAAUAAAAUUCAUACCCAUUUGAAUAUUGUGUUUACUUUUGGUUAACUAUGAUGGAAUCUUCUUAUAUUAUGAUUACAUUUAGCUUAUAUGGCAUUGAUGCGUCAAACGAUUACUCCCUGAUUUUGAUUAUAACGAAGAUAUAUAAUUUUUUUUUUUUGGCAAUGCCGUAAGAUUUUGUUGGAUUGUUUUUGUAAGAAAUGAUUGGGUAUUUAUUUUUUUUGCAAGAUUAUAAUUGCGGAGACAUAAAUGGUUGAAAGGAUAGAAUAUUCGGGAAUGUUUGUGCAAGGAAUGUGGUUUGACAGAAGUGACGCAAAUUAGGCUUAUUGCAUUUGUGUUUUACGGGUAUGUAUAGCUUGAUUCAUGAAAUUAGAAAAUAAACGUUAGUCUUCCUAUUAAUAUUCAUUUUUUCAAUCCAUAUAUUAAUGGCAAUUAAGUCUUUUUGACUCUAAAAGUAAGGGCACUUUUAAAAUUUCACUUUGUUAUAUAUCAAUUAAAACAUGUGGGUAAUUGUGUGAUUUUAUCCACUAGAGCUAAGAAAAUUGGCGCCAAUCUCCUGUCAUUUGGAUACUAGGGGCAAAUAGGUAAAAGUAUUUAAAAAUUGAGCAACUUCUGUUAUUGUUAUAACAGCAGGGAGGAAAUUGGUCAUUAUGAAAAUAGUAAAGGAAGAAUUGGUAUAUAAUGAUUUUAAUAAGGGGGAAAUUAGCAAUCUCCCUUAUAACCACCGAAACAUCAACUGCCAUUGGAUUGGGACCCAUUUAACCACCGGCCAUAAAACAGUUUGGACGAAACUUAAUCCUGAAAAACUUAUGGACCUCCCUUUUCACUUGUUUUUAAAAAAAAAUUAAAGAAAAAUUACGUGUCAAAAAGGAAAAAAAAUUACACUGACGAAUCCCUUAUUGUCAUGCCAAAUUAUCACACUUAAAGUAAAGAAUUUAAGCAAAAGUCUUAAACCAUUAUAAAUGUGAACGUAUGGCUGAUUUAUGAUAUGAUGGGUCCAUCUAUUAAAUAUCUUGUUUUCUUUAGUGUGGAUGUUUUUAUUUUAUUUUAUAAAAGUAUGAAUUUAAUAUUUUAUAAUAUUAUAAAAACUAUAUAAUAUUAUAAAAUAUUUUAUAAAGUGCAAAGUUCAACACUUGAGAAAGAUUUCUUAAGGUUAAAGUUUAUCAUUACAAAGAGUGAAAAAAAAGAAGAAGAGGAAAAUAUCCAAUUGUAACUACAACCGUCAUGUUUUUACAUUGCAUUUCUUACAAUUUUCCAUUAAAUAUUUCUCAAAUUCUUUAGAGAAUUAAAAUAGAAUUGUUAUAAAAUUAAAUUCUCUCAUGAUCUAAAUUUGUCUCGUGUAAAAUUUAGUUGGAAAUUAGUGGUUAAUUAAAAAAAGUUAAAUCAAAAUCAUACAUAGCAUUAAAAAAAAAACAUAAAACACAAGACAUUUAAAAAUUCGAGAGAGUUCAUGUUAAGAAAGGGUCUUAAUUCAAUAAUGCAUAUGAUAUGAAAUGCAAAGUUUGGUGGGUCUAUUAAAACUAUAAUUAUUUUUAUCCAUUAAACUGCUAUUUCCUAUUUUAUGGAUAAUUCUUUUGAGCCACUGUUGAAGUAUUUGCAAUUUGUGACUAAAUUGUCUGAGCAUGAAGUCUCGUUGGUGAAACCAACCAUGUCGACAUAUAACGAAAAUAAAUCAAAAUCCGGAAACAAUAUUAAUGUAACAAUGAACCAACAGUAGACCAAUCGCAUUAUUAUUAUUAUUUGAGUACGUAAAUUGAUUUUUUUAGAGUAAAAAGAAAAAAAAGAUUUUUUUCUCCGUGAAUUUGACUUUUUCUUGUGGUACCGAACCAACCAUAGAGUUAUUACCUCUAAAAUUUUCUGAAGGUUAAGAAUUUUUUUUUUAAAACAAUUAAAAACAUCCCCAGAAAGAGACUCGAGUACACGUGUCAAAAAAUUGAAGUUUCUAACGGAGUUAAGAAAUAAGAAUAUGUUAAAAUAAGCAAAUUAAUGCAUACAUGUCAAAAAAUCUUCCAAAUAUUAAUUAAGUAAAUUCAGAUUAGUACAAUUUUAUUGAUUAGUUGGAUGUCACCCAGAAAAUCUAAAAAGAAAUUGUUAGCGACCCUUACCAUUUGAGUCACGAAAAGCUUAUAAAUAGACCCACAUCUCCCAUGCUAUGAUCAUCAGCAACACCAAAAACACUUUCUUGAAGUAGUGUCUAUAAAUUUCUCUUCUGCUAUCACUUUUUACUCUAUUAAUUAAUCAUGUCUGAGGAAAAGCACCACCACCACGGCCUCUUCCACCACCACAAGGAGCAUGAGAAGCCUGAGGGUGCCACCGGUUACUCCGACUCGACCACCGGAUACUCUGAUCAGUCAGCCACUGCUUACUCUGAGACUACAGGUUAUCCGGGAGACCGGUGCCGGCCAUCGGAGACGGAGAGCGGUGACUAUGGCAGGAAAGAGGAGGAGGUUGAUUACAAGAAGGAGGAGAAGCACCACAAGCAUCUUGAGCACCUCGGAGAGCUCGGAACUGCUGGAGCUGGUGCUUUUGCCCUGGUAAAGUGAUUCUUCAUCAAGUGCUUUUUUUAUUUUGUGAUAGUGUAUAGUUUCAUUUCUCAUGCAUACAUAUACAAAGUACCACGCAUGUAACUAGGCUUUUUGCAUGGAUUGGAGGAAAAAAAAAGAAAGAAUCCCAUUAUUUUCUUUAAUUUUAUCUCUAUGUUGACACUCAAUUAUUUAUUUAUUUUUGGGGGGUGGGGGGGUGUUGAUACGAUAUUGUAAAUGGAUCAGCUUGAGAAGCACAAGGCAGAAAAGGACCCAGAGCAUGCACACAGGCACAAGAUAGAGGAGGAGAUAGCCGCGGCAGCAGCCGUUGGAUUGGGAGGAUUUGCGUUCCACGAGCACCAUGAGAAGAAAGAAGCCAAGGAAGAAGACGAGGAAGCUCAUGGAAAGAAGCACCACCAUCUCUUUUAAUUAAUUAUGUAUUGCGUCCGCUACCUUUUUUAGUUUAUUAUAAUUAUGUGUUAAUAUUUUCUGUAUUUUAUUUGUUUUGCACGUUAGCCCUCAUUGAGCACAGAGGUAGCUGCAGCCCUAAAUAAUACUGUUGUGUGUUCGCGUGUAUGGGUGAGUCUGGUGACUUUUGUAAACACACCGGAGUUAUCUGGUUAUGUUGUCAUCUUACAUUUAUAUAUAUGUUGAUAAUAAAACUUAGUUUUAAUUGUGUGUUUAUUAUUUAUAAGAUUUGACCUCAUGAUCUGAUGUUUUCUCCAAUCUCAGCUGUUGCUUUAGAAGUUGGGAUCAUCUGUUAAUUAUUAUUGUUUUU